CUUCAUAUUGAGCUCAUUAUGUUCAACAUUUAAUUUUUUAAUCUAAAACAAUUAUAGUGGUGACACUAUACUGUCUGGUUCAAUCAAUUCCCCAAUCAUUAAUAUUUAGUCUUUCCCAAAAGGAUUUCAGACUGGUAGUAGAGCCAUUCCAUAUAAAAUAAAGUAAUCUAUAUAUAUCUACGGUAGGAGACCAAUUAUUUUAAAUGCAGAUUUGGUGUACAUUCCACCACUGAAACUAAAAGAGAUGUGCUUAUAAAGUAAAGAGUUGGUGAUUAUGGAUGGGUUUGUUUG